CAGUCGCCGCGGUAAUGCGUAGGUGGCAAGCGUUGUCCGGGAUUAUUGGGCGUAAAGCGCGCGCAGGUGGUUUAAUAAGUCUGAUGUGAAAGCCCACGGCUCAACCGUGGAGGGUCAUUGGAAACUGUUAAACUUGAGUGCAGGAGAGAAAAGUGGAAUUCCUAGUGUAGCGGUGAAAUGCGUAGAGAUUAGGAGGAACACCAGUGGCGAAGGCGGCUUUUUGGCCUGUAACUGACACUGAGGCGCGAAAGCGUGGGGAGCAAACAGGAUUAGAUACCCCUGUAGUCCCUGUCUCUUAUAC
rnacentral:rRNA from 1 species